UACGUAGGGGGCGAGCGUUGUCCGGAUUUAUUGGGCGUAAAGAGCGUGUAGGCGGCCAGGUAGGUCCGCUGUGAAAGUCCGAGGCUCAACCUCGGAAUGUCGGCGGAAACCCUCUGGCUAGAGUCCGGAAGAGGAGAGUGGAAUUCCCGGUGUAGCGGUGAAAUGCGCAGAUAUCGGGAAGAACACCCGUGGCGAAGGCGGCUCUCUGGAACGGUACUGACGCUGAGACGCGAAAGCGUGGGGAGCGAACAGG
rnacentral:rRNA from 1 species